rnacentral:rRNA from 1 species
GACGUAGGAUGCAAGCGUUGUCCGGAAUUAUUGGGCGUAAAGAGAACGUAGGCGGCCAUCUAAGUCUGAAGUUAAAGACCAGGGCUCAACCCUGGGAAUGCUCCGGAAACUGGGUGGCUAGAGGACGGAAGAGGAAAGUGGAAUUCCCAGUGUAGCGGUGAAAUGCGUAGAUAUUGGGAGGAACACCAGUGGCGAAAGCGACUUUCUGGUCCGUUCCUGACGCUGAGGUUCGAAAGCCAGGGGAGCAAACGGG